rnacentral:rRNA from 1 species
GGUCUCAAAUCAGGCAAGACUACCCGCUGAACUUAAGCAUAUUAAUAAGCGGAGGAAAAGAAACUAACAAGGAUUCCCCUAGUAACGGCGAGUGAAGCGGGAACAGCUCAAAUUUAAAAUCUCCCCUCGGGCGAAUUGUAGUUUAUAGAAGUGUUCUUCUGGGGCAGCUCGGGCAUAUGUCGUUUGGAAAAACGCAUCAAAGAGGGUGAGAAUCCCGUAUUGGCCCGAAGCCUGUCUCUCUGUGAUGCACUAUCUAAGANUCGAGUUGUUUGGGNAUGCAGCUCUAAUUGGGUG